UCGCGGUUUGUGCCAAAUGGCGA
rnacentral:miRNA from 8 species